AAGGAUUAGGAUGGAACAUGAGCUUCGUAGGUGGAUAAGGGUGUUCGAAACAGAGAUUCGGAAUAGGCUUAAGGGUUAGGGUAUCUUCAUCGAAGGACAGAAUAUCGACACGAUUGUUGAACUCUUCGAUAAAGC